UUAAGCGAAUAAGCGUACACGGUGGAUGCCUAGGCAAUCAGAAGGCGAUGAAGGACGUGCUAAUCUGCGAAAAGCGUCGUAAGGUGAUAUGAACCGUUAUACCCGACGAUAUCCGAAUGGGGAAACCCAGUAUCCAAUGGAUACUAUCAUUAACUGAAUCCAUAGUUAAUGAGGCGAACCGGGAGAACUGAAACAUCUCAGUACCCCGAGGAAAAGAAAUCAACCGAGAUUCCCCUAGUAGCGGCGAGCGAACGGGGAGCAGCCCAGAGUCUUAAUCAAUAGCAGUGUCAGGAGAACGGUCUGGAAAGUCCGGCAGUAAAGGGUGAUAGCCCCGUAUCUGAAGAUGCUGUUGUUGUGAACUCGACGAGUAGGGCGGGACACGUGUUAUCCUGUCUGAAUAUGGGGGGACCAUCCUCCAAGGCUAAAUACUCCUGAUUGACCGAUAGUGAACCAGUACCGUGAGGGAAAGGCGAAAAGAACCCCGGCGAGGGAGUGAAAAAGAACCUGAAACCGUGUACGUACAAGCAGUAGGAGCCUCUUUAUGGGGUGACUGCGUACCUUUUGUAUAAUGGUCAGCGACUUAUAUUCUGUAGCGAGGUUAACCGUAUAGGGGAGCCGUAGGGAAACCGAGUCUUAACUGGGCGAAUGAGUUGCAGGGUAUAGACCCGAAACCCGGUGAAUCUAUCCAUGGCAGGUUGAAGGUUGGUAACACUAACUGGAGGACCGAACCGACUAAUGUUGAAAAAUUAGCGGAUGACUUGUGGAUGGGGGGUGAAAGGCCAAUCAAACCGGGAGAUAGCUGGUUCUCCCCGAAAGCUAUUUAGGUAGCGCCUCGUGAACUCAUCUUCGGGGGUAGAGCACUGUUUCGACUAGGGGGUCAUCCCGACUUACCAACUCGAUGCAAACUGCGAAUACCGAAGAAUGUUAUCACGGGAGACACACGGCGGGUGCUAACGUCCGUCGUGAAGAGGGAAACAACCCAGACCGCCAGCUAAGGUCCCAAAGUCAUGGUUAAGUGGGAAACGAAGUGGGAAGGCUCAGACAGCCAGGAUGUUGGCUUAGAAGCAGCCAUCAUUUAAAGAAAGCGUAAUAGCUCACUGGUCGAGUCGGCCCGCGCGGAAGAUGUAACGGGGCUAAACCAUGCACCGAAGCUGCGGCAGCGACACAAAGUGUUGUUGGGUAGGGGAGCGUUCUGUAAGCCUGCGAAGGUGUACUGUGAGGUAUGCUGGAGGUAUCAGAAGUGCGAAUGCUGACAUAAGUAACGAUAAUGCGGGUGAAAAACCCGCACGCCGGAAGACCAAGGGUUCCUGUCCAACGUUAAUCGGGCAGGGUGAGUCGACCCCUAAAGGCGAGGCUGAAAAGCGUAGUCGAUGGGAAACGGUUAAUAUUCCCGUACUGGUGGUAACUGCGAUGGGGGAACGGAGAAGGCUAGGUUGUCCGGGCGACGGUCGUCCCGGUUCAAGCAGGUAGGCAGAGUGAUUAGGCAAAUCCGGUCACUUAAUGCUGAGAUGUGAUGACGAACCACCAAGGUGGUGAAGCAAUUGAUGCCCCGCUUCCAGGAAAAGCCUCUAAGCUUCAGGUUACCAACAAUCGUACCCCAAACCGACACAGGUGGUCAGGUAGAGAAUACUCAGGCGCUUGAGAGAACUCGGGUGAAGGAACUAGGCAAAAUGGUGCCGUAACUUCGGGAGAAGGCACGCUGGCGGUAGGUAAAGUCCCUCGCGGACGGCGCCCAAGCCAGUCGAAGAUACCAGCUGGCUGCAACUGUUUAUUAAAAACACAGCACUGUGCAAACACGAAAGUGGACGUAUACGGUGUGACGCCUGCCCGGUGCUGGAAGGUUAAUUGAUGGGGUCAGCCGCAAGGCGAAGCUCCUGAUCGAAGCCCCAGUAAACGGCGGCCGUAACUAUAACGGUCCUAAGGUAGCGAAAUUCCUUGUCGGGUAAGUUCCGACCUGCACGAAUGGCGUAAUGAUGGCCAGGCUGUCUCCACCCGAGACUCAGUGAAAUUGAACUCGCUGUGAAGAUGCAGUGUACCCGCGGCAAGACGGAAAGACCCCGUGAACCUUUACUAUAGCUUGACACUGAACAUUGAGCCUUGAUGUGUAGGAUAGGUGGGAGGCUUUGAAGUGUGGACGCCAGUCUGCAUGGAGCCAACCUUGAAAUACCACCCUUUAACGUUUGAUGUUCUAACCUAGGCCCAUAAACUGGGUCGGGGACCGUGUCUGGUGGGUAGUUUGACUGGGGCGGUCUCCUCCUAAAGAGUAACGGAGGAGCACGAAGGUUGGCUAAGCAUGGUCGGACAUCAUGCGGUUAGUGCAAAGGCAUAAGCCAGCUUGACUGCGAGAGUGACGGCUCGAGCAGGUACGAAAGUAGGUCUUAGUGAUCCGGUGGUUCUGAAUGGAAGGGCCAUCGCUCAACGGAUAAAAGGUACUCCGGGGAUAACAGGCUGAUACCGCCCAAGAGUUCAUAUCGACGGCGGUGUUUGGCACCUCGAUGUCGGCUCAUCACAUCCUGGGGCUGAAGUAGGUCCCAAGGGUAUGGCUGUUCGCCAUUUAAAGUGGUACGCGAGCUGGGUUUAGAACGUCGUGAGACAGUUCGGUCCCUAUCUGCCGUGGGCGUUGGAAGAUUGAGAGGGGUUGCUCCUAGUACGAGAGGACCGGAGUGAACGCACCACUGGUGUUCGGGUUGUCAUGCCAAUGGCAUUGCCCGGUAGCUAAGUGCGGAAGAGAUAACCGCUGAAAGCAUCUAAGCGGGAAACUUGCCUCGAGAUGAGUCUUCCCUAUCGCUUUAAGCGACCUAAAGGAACGUUUAAGACUAAGACGUUGAUAGGCUGGGUGUGUAAGCGUAGUGAUACGUUGAGCUAACCAGUACUAAUGAACCGUGAGGCUUAACCUG
rnacentral:rRNA from 1 species